GACGGCUUCUGGCUGUGGUGACCCAGGGCAGGCUGUGAAGAGGAGCAGUGGGAGCAGAACCGGAGGUUUGCUGGGUUUUCGGCAGGCCAGAGGGCAUUCCGGUGGGAAGGGAUGCAGAGUCUGGGCUAAUGUAGGUAUGGAAACGUGCAAGGUGUGUUUAACGUGACACAGUGUUAAGAGUCAGGACCUGAGCUGGAAUCCUGGCUCCA